rnacentral:snRNA from 1 species
AUUAUUUGCUUGGGACGAAUUAGA